CGUGAACGGACCGAAGCCCAGUGUCCCCGGACGCCCUCCUUCAUUUCCAGCUCCCGGUCCACUGGGCAGUGGUCAGCAACACUGGCUUCAAGAUCCAACUAUAAACAGAAAAUUACAGAAGAACUCAGGCUCAGUUUUUGCACUCUUCUGAAGCAGUCUGUGGUGUUGAACAGUCAUAGAUAAAGACCAGUCUGAAGUCAUUCCCAGCAAGCCCUCAGUAAUCCUCAGGAGAAGGGAAGAUACACACAUAAAACACAACA